ACGGCUUCUGGUUUGCGCCGGAACGUCUGGCGCUGCAGGCGCUGGUGACGGAGAGCCAGAAGAACGUGACCGGUACGAUGCGAGUGAAGCUGUAC
rnacentral:tRNA from 1 species